rnacentral:rRNA from 1 species
AGUGAACGCUGGCGGUAGGCCUAACACAUGCAAGUCGAACGGCAGCACAGUAAGAGCUUGCUCUUACGGGUGGCGAGUGGCGGACGGGUGAGGAAUACAUCGGAAUCUACUUUUUCGUGGGGGAUAACGUAGGGAAACUUACGCUAAUACCGCAUACGACCUACGGGUGAAAGCAGGGGAUCUUCGGACCUUGCGCGAUUGAAUGAGCCGAUGUCGGAUUAGCUAGUUGGGGGGGUAAAGGCCCACCAAGGCGACGAUACGUAGCUGGUCUGAGAGGAUGAUCAGCCACCCUGGAACUGAGACACGGUCCACACUCCUACGGGAGGCAGCAGUGGGGAAUAUUGGACAAUGGGCGCAAGCCUGAUCCAGCCAUCCCGCGUGGGUGAAGACGGCCUUCGGGUUGUAAAGCCCUUUUGUUGGGAAAGAACAGCAGCAGGUUAAUACCCCGCUGUUCUGACGGUACCCAAAGAAUAAGCACCGGCUAACUUCGUG